rnacentral:tRNA from 1 species
GCAUCGGUGGUUCAGUCGUAGAAUACUCACCUGCCACGCGGGCGGCCCGGGUUCGAUUCCCGGCCGAUGCA